GAUGAACGCUGGCGGCGUGCCUAACACAUGCAAGUCGAACGGUGACGCCGUAGCUUGCUCUUCUGGCUCAGUGGCGAACGCGGGCGUAACACGUGAGCAAUCUGCCCCUGACUUUGGGAUAAGCGCUGGAAACGGCGCCUACUACAGGAUACGAUCUGCCCAAGCAUUUUCAGCAGCUGAAAAUCACACCGGUCAGGGAUGAGCGCGCGGCCUAACAGCUUGUUGGUGAGGUAACGGCUCACCAAGGCGUCGACGGGUAGCCGGCAUGAGAGGGUGACCGGCCACACUGGGACUGAGAGACGGCCCAGACUGCUACGGUAGGCAGCAGUGGGGAAUAUUGCACAAUGGGCGCAAGCCUGAUGCAGCAACGCCGCGUGAGGGAAGACGGCCUUCGGGUUGUAAACCUCUUUUAGCAGAGAAGAAGCGAAAGUGACGGUACCUGCAGAAAAAGCGCCGGCUAACUACGUG
rnacentral:rRNA from 1 species